CCUCCUUUUGUUGGCAUACGGUGGUUCAGUACAUGUAGGCAGAGGUAAAGAAAUGCCAGUACUAUGUCUUGGGUGCCAGCAUUUUUAUAGUCUGCUGGUUCUAUCCUGAAUCAUUGGAACAAGC